CCUACGGGAGGCAGCAGUGAGGAAUAUUGGUCAAUGGACGCAAGCCUGAACCAGCCAUGUCGCGUGCAGGAAGACGGCCCUAUGAGUUGUAAACUGCUUUUGUACGAGGGUAAACGCAGAUACGUGUAUCUUUCUGAAAGUAUCGUACGAAUAAGGAUCGGCUAACUCCGUGCCAGCAGCCGCGGUAAUACGGAGGAUUCAAGCGUUAUCCGGAUUUAUUGGGUUUAAAGGGUGCGUAGGCGGUCGGAUAAGUUAGAGGUGAAAUCCCGAGGCUCAACUUCGGAAUUGCCUUUGAUACUGGUAGGCUAGAGAGUAGUUGCGGUAGGCGGAAUGUAUGGUGUAGCGGUGAAAUGCUUAGAGAUCAUGCAGAACACCGAUUGCGAAGGCAGCUUACCAAGCUACUACUGACGUUGAGGCACGAAAGCGUGGGGAGCAAACAGGAUUAGAUACCCCUGUAGUC
rnacentral:rRNA from 1 species